CCUUACCACCCUUGACAUGCCUGGAACCCUGCAGAGAUGUGGGGGUGCUCGAAAGAGAGCCAGGACACAGGUGCUGCAUGGCCGUCGUCAGCUCGUGUCGUGAGAUGUUGGGUUAAGUCCCGCAACGAGCGCAACCCUUGCCAUUAGUUGCUACGAAAGGGCACUCUAAUGGGACUGCCGGUGACAAACCGGAGGAAGGUGGGGAUGACGUCAGGUCCUCAUGGCCCUUAUGGGUAGGGCUACACACGUCAUACAAUGGCCGGUACAGAGGGCUGCCAACCCGCGAGGGGGAGCCAAUCCCAGAAAACCGGUCGUAGUCCGGAUUGCAGUCUGCAACUCGACUGCAUGAAGUCGGAAUCGCUAGUAAUCGCGGAUCAGAAUGUCGCGGUGAAUACGUUCCCGGGUCUUGUACACACCGCCCGUCACACCAUGGGAGCGGGUUCUGCCAGAAGUGGGUAGCCUAACCGCAAGGAGGCGCUUACCACGGCAGGGUUCGUGACUGGGGUGAAGUCGUAACAAGGUAGGCGUAGCGAG
rnacentral:rRNA from 1 species